UAUCCGUAGGUGAACCAGCGGAGGGAUCAUUACCGUAUUACCAACUCGCGAGCCCUGUCGGUGAGCCGACAGGUUGUGGACGCGGGAGUGCCCCCACACACAUCCAUCCCACCCCCCGGUGCACCACCCCGGGCGGCCGCCUUUGGCUUGAUCGGUGGGGGACAUCCGUUCUCACACAAACUUUUUAUGCAGUGUAGACUGUAUUUCUUGUUUUUGUGUUGACGCAAACCAAACAACUUUCAACAACGGAUCCCUUGGUCCUCGCAUCGUGGAAAAAGG
rnacentral:misc_RNA from 1 species